GCGUGAGGAUAAGCGAGAUCAUUGGACAAACAGAGUCAAGGUGUUCUAUUCCCUCAUCAAACAAACAAUGUAAGUCAACAUGUGAAGAAGUAUUUAAGUGUGACCGUCAGCGGUACGGCAGAUAACUGCAACACAAACCUGUUGCUUCAGCUUCAACCUGUGGAACGAAAAGGUUAACCUACCAUGUCCAGGCUGCUGAAGGUGACGUUGACGGUGGCCGUGUGUGCGCUCAUCUUAGCCACACUGACGACCAGUGCAGAGGCCCGCCACGUACCUCCCUUUGUCCCUCCACCGUGGGGCAUCAUUGAGACCCAAUCCGGGACACUCACCGAAGCAAUACGUGGAGGGCCGAGACUUGCGGAGAAAGCAGACAAAUGGGGAUGAGUGAUGAAAUACAGCACAACAAAGACAGAACAUGUUGUAAAGAUAAAAACUAAAUUUCCUGCCAUGUAAUUGCAACAAUUCUGUUCUCCUGUACAUCCAAAAUAAAAUGAAUAUGAAGCAUCA